CUGACUAAUGACGGUACUCACAGAAGAAGCACCCGGCUAACUACGUGCCAGCACGCCGCCGGUAAUACGUAGGGUGCAGGGCGUUAAUCGGAAUUACUGGGCGUAAAGCGUGCGCAGGCGGUUUGCUAAGACAGGUGUGAAAUCCCCGAGCUUAACUUGGGAAUUGCGCUUGUAACUGGCAAGCUAGAGUGUGGCAGAGGGGGGUGGAAUUCACGUGAGAGUAAAUGCGAGAAUGUGAGAACCCGGUGGCAAGGGGGCCCCCUGGGUUGAUCUGUCGCUACUGCUCAGAGAA
rnacentral:rRNA from 1 species